GGAAACCUUAAUCUACCAGCAAUGACGCGUCAAGAGGCACAAAUCCAAAAGAUGAUGGAACAGUGGCUCCAUGUCCUAUCAGUACAGCAGCCUGACUGCUUCUCUUCUCAUUAUGCCUGAAUGAAGUAGGACUCCAGGAAAACUUCCCACCCAACUCAGCAUAAAUGACAUUACCACAGUGUGAAGGCCAACAGUGUAGCUGUAAGACAGAUUGAGCUCUAAGGAACAUACAAAGCUAUUCAUCUGUAAAUGUGUUUGGAAGACUCAAGAUCAAUAAAGACAAAUUAAUUUUAAUCUGGAAAACACAACUGAGAAGACAGGCCUCUUGUGGAAGAGUAUAAUAUUAUUCAUUCCAGAUUUCAACAUGGCAUGCUGGAGAUCUAUGUUAAAGGGGCUGCGAGCCAUGUGGAGCUAGGCCUGCAGCAAAGAAAAGAAGGUUGUAAGCUAGUCAUUUCUCAGUAUAGCACUAUGUCCAAAGUGUCUGCUCCAGAAUCAGAUCUGGGGCGAAAGCCCAGCUGCUUGGCUAAAGAGCUCUGUGAUGUAUUGCUUGUUGCUUUGCCUCUCAACCUGUGUCUACUGGUUAGCAAAUGGGAGAAAAUAUCUUUAUCUUACAGGAUUUUUGUGAAGACUUAAUGAAAAUAAAUAAAUAAAUAAUGCUCCAAUCUAGUAACUGGCAGAUGGUGG
rnacentral:lncRNA from 10 species